rnacentral:tRNA from 1 species
GCAGGUGUGGCGGAAUUGGCAGACGCGCCGGAUUUAGGUUCCGGUGGAUAUCCGUGCAGGUUCAAGUCCUGUCACCUGUACCA